UGUUCUGCCCCUACUAGCUCCACAACAGAGCUUUAACUGGUUUUGUUAAGACUGUAUAGAAAGAAAAGCCGGACUGCUAAAAUGUUCCCCUCCUAAGCUAAGUGUGACAUCACACCCACACCUUAAGGGGACAGUUUUAUAUUAUUAAUAUUUUUAUUAAUACUAUUAAUUUUUAAAAAUUAUUACUUUUUUCUGGCCAACGCAAAGAUAGGAAGAAAAGGAGAAACAUUUUAUUUUCCAUGUAAUCAGCUCUGUAACAACAAGGAAAAAGAAUUGUUUUUCAGCAUUUAUAACACAGUCCAAAACAGAAUCAGAAAAAGAUCAAAAUAAUAGAGAACCCAUUUAUAAACAUGAUUACAUUAGAUCUACCUAUGAAAGCAGUUGAGAGCAGUUUUUGUUGGGGGUUCUGGUUACUUUCAUGUUUGUUUUAUUUUAAGUGCUUUGUGGCAAGAUUAUUCAGAUAAGACUGACAUUCCUUUUCACAAAAAUAGAACUGUGUGUUUAUUUCCAGCAUUAACUGUGUGACCCUUAGCUGUCCCCACAGGCUUGCAAUAUCCCUUAAUUCUACUUGCCUUAUAUUUAUGCCAAAUUUAUUUGCUAAAUAGUGAAACCUUACUAUUGACACUAUUUUAUUAUUUUACAUUUUAUACAAGCAUGUCUUAGAGAUCUAAGAACCAGUAAUAAAUUCAGAAAUGAGGUACUUCUGAAUGACUUUAGGAUUAACAUCUAAACAGUCAUGCAGUUCUAAGGCAAUUGAAGGCAUUUAGAAGUUGUGUUGCCUUAUACUAAAUAAUAACAACGCUUCUUUUUAGCACAGCAAUCAGUUCCAAGGCUGAAUGUCACAAAUGUAGUUCCUGGGGCUUGGACAACUGCUCAAACUGCAGUCCAGAGCACUUCUCAGAAGUGAGAAGGCAGCACAUUCUGGUGCUGUAGCCAUCUUGUACUGAUCCAUCCAAACCAGUUAAAAUUCAGUAAUUAGCACAGUUGGAGAUAUGUGAGUGCUCACACAAAUGAAGCUGAAAAGGCAUAACCAAGGACACUGGCAGUUCUCGUGUGCUCCCUCGUACGUGCCUUUCAGUUAGAAAUACAUGCUACCUAGCCUGGUCGUUUUGAGCUAAAUUUUACAAAGUAAAGAAGUGCUUCAAAUGGCUAUCAGUGCUAAAACCUGUAGGAAGGGAUAGCAGCACGGAAAGAAGGAACUCUCUUUCAAGAUUCUUUUACCCCAAAGUGUAACCUACAGCAGUCUCCCCCCUCCCUUACCCUUUUCCUUUUUUUUUCCUCUGUAUAGACAUAUUCCAGGAUAUUCCAAAUCAAUCCAAAGAGAUAAACAAAAAUAAUAUAAUUUAUGUUUCUAAGGAUUUGCAGUGUUUCCCUAAACAAGCUGGACCUGUUCUGAUCACUAGAAGCUCAUUGCACAUCUUGCUUUCCUUGGACUUUAGAGAUGUUUGAAGUGCACACUGAUCUGCACUGCAUAAGAGUUUUGUUUCUGUAGGCCAGAAGCCUUCUCCUGUAGUUGGAGCAACUACACAGACAAUAUUUUGUAUUGAUUAUUGUGUCACAAGAGCAUGAAAUGAGGAUGUGACCAUGCAUUUACAAAGAGACUGACUUUGUGGGAUCUGAAUCCAGGAUGACAUGCCGACAAAAGAUGCUCAGCAUUCCUCUUUGAACCUUACCUUUGUGAACAUUGUCCAAGUUAAAAAUCUUAGCAGAAGUCAUUCCUACACAAAAAGCAUUAAAGCUAAUUUUAGAUCGAGCAGAUUAAAUCAUCUAUCAAUCAAAGCAUAUGGUCUACAGAAAAAUCAGUUGCUUUUCAAGAGAUCUCCUGAUUUCUGAUAAAAUACUGGUAUUUCAUUAGUUAUAGGCAUUAACUAGUUUAAUCACACAAGUCCAACGUAAAAUGGAGUCUGAGCCAAUCUACCAUGCUGGUGAAAGCAGAGACUGUGUGUGAGACCCCAAAGGAUGGGAUGUUUCAGAAGGUGUGGAUGGUGUCCCCACUGCAUCUCUGGCUAUCCCCAGCAGCAGAGCUGCAGCACAAGGCUGGCACAGCCAUGGGAAGCUGAAGGUGCUCCCUGGAAUGUGCUGGAUGUUUUGUGCUGAGCAGCCUUGCUUGCAAGCAGGAGCAUCCACAGUAGCAGUCCACAGCCUGACUGCAGGCGCUCACCUAGCUGGACAGCAAAUUAGUGCAUUGCACUAAGGGAGGGUCUUAUUUCUGCCUGGGAACUGAUCUGCAGACACAGCCAUGCUUCUCCCCCAAUGAAUUUUGACUCCCACGCUUGCCUGCUCCAUCAAGACCCAUCUCAGGCUUCUUUGACCUAAACUCAUCCACACAGGAACUGCAGAGAUAAGAGAAAGCAUACAGAUGAACCAGAUAAAUUGCAACUGUCUGAAGGAACAAAACUUCAACAAAAGUAUCCAAAACCCAAAAUGCCAAGCAUGUACUUAAAUGAUUGACUGUUUUAAAGGGCCCUUAGUGUGGAUUCUAGCAAGGAUAUUUACAUUAGGGUUUGCACUGGCUGCUUACUUAAGUUCAGAUUUCAACAAAGCAAAUAUGUAUUUGUUAGCAUCCAGCCUUCAAAUAUAACUCAUCUGGGCUAAUAUGAAGCACUAGAAAUAGUCUUUCCAUUAUUAGAUGACUUAUUUGGAGCUGUGAACCUCAGUAUACAAUGAAAUGGGAAUAAUUUCUUUUACCAUUUACUCAGCAGUUGACUCCAGGACCCUUUCCUACCCCCUCCAUCUCCUUUUUAUGAAAGUGAAUUUACAGCAAAAAAACAUCAACGUGUAUCUGAACAAUUUUCUGUCUCAAAGGGUUUUGAGACAUGGGAAGGAAAAGCCAGUUUUCCAGACCAACUAUCCAACAUCCUUCUAAAUGCAUCAUGUUGUCAAGCCAGGACAAGAGUUGUCUUCCAGAAGAGACUGACCUUUCCUUGGCAAUUAACAUUGAACGAUUCUGCAAUAUGAAAAAAACCCUAGAGUAUGAAUCAAAAUGUCAUUUAAUAUUUAGCUCACACACUUUCUUACAGUUAGCAUUAUCAAUUUGCUCUGGUUACUUACAGCAUGUAUUUAAUUCCCACAGAGUGCUCUGAUUUUAUUGACUAAGCCUCAGUUUGCAAACUGCAAUAGAUACGUACAUGCAGCACUUACAGCAGAACAACCUGUAUAUAGGUUUCUAGACAUUUUUCUAUGAAAGCAAAUCAAAUGUAGCAAACAUUAAUGUCCUGCAUGUUUUAAGCCUGCCAUCUAAAUAACCACAUUCUUUUAGAGGAUAAAAAUAGAAUUUCCAUAAAGGCAGAAUCUCUCCCAUCUUGCUCAUCACAGAAAAAAACACUGGAAAGGUUCACUUGGCUGAGCCUCUCAGAUGAGCUGCCUAAAUGACAUAAAGCACUAUUAGUUAGCCUCUAAUCCAAAAAUAAGUGAAGUAAACCAGAAUCCAGGCCUCUAGCAACUAGGCAGUAUGCAGGAAAAGAUACAGGAAUGAGGGUUCUUAUACUAUAGUAUAAUCAGCUAAAUGUCUCUAGAGUACAGCAGAAGUUUUAAUCCAGACUAAUGCUUAAAGACUGAUUCACACCAGCUCAGCUUCUAAUUUUUUUUUUCUGUGAGAACAUCAAUUUUAUGACAGUGGGCUAGAAAAAAAGAUGCAUAUUCUAACAGAUUUAAGCUAUGAUUCAGUGCAAAAUUUGGUGAGAGAUACUCUCGUACAAGCCAAGGACAGACACCAGAAUUCAAGAGAAAGAGCAAGAAAAGCGAAUUUUCCCCUUCCAAAGUGUUAGUGGAAAUCUAAAGACAUUUAUCUUAAAUGUGCAAAACCAGCUAAAACAAAUACCUAUCAAGCUUCAGUAUUUUUGAAAAGUUCCACACUUGACAAGCAGAUUCUCUUAAUUUAUCUAUGUUUUUCAGCAGUAAUACCACUGUUGCACAGGUUUUUAAUGUCAAGCCCACACUGCAAGGCAGAAUAUUUGUGUUCUAAGUAAAAAGAGUCCUAAGACAAACUCAGGAAUUUUUUCAAAUCAUUGUUAUCUGCAAAGGAAUUAUUUUAUUCAAAAAAGGAAUCUAACAAAAAUGCUCUCUUAAUACAAAGAUACUCUGCUGUCAGUCUGCAAUAAGAAAUGGUCAUGGUAAUUGUGGAAGUUAGGAAUUUAGUUAUUGGUGUGGGCUUUUUCUCCUUCAAGAUGCAUUCAGCUUGAAUGCUGACAUUUCUAAACCUUUUCAUCAUCUCAGAGAAGCAGCAAACAAGUCCAAGGAAACCAAACAUGAAAGGAUAUAUGAUUCAAGGAAAAGAUUUUAUUUUAGGGCUAAGAAGUUGAUAAUAAAUAAAGGAAUAUAAUAAUGUAAUAGCAGAUGUUCUCAUGCACUUAACACAUACAGUAAUGCUGGCUUACACUGCUGUUUGGACAAAUUAAGAAGAGGUAUUUGGCAAUAUUGUAAGUUUUGAAUAGUUUAAAGAUUAUAGAACAAGAAAUUCUUUCUGCUGUUCUUACACUUCUUUUAUACAAAUUCAAAUAAAUAUUAAUAUAUCUAUUUUUAUCAGAUUUUCUGUUCACUUUUAGCAUGCCCAAUAACUAAGCCACAGUAAUAUACAACUGCCAAGAAAGAGUAUUUAAGAAUUAUACUUAGUCCUAAAAAUGUAUCAUAUUUAUGUCACAUUGUGCAAGCUCUUCAGGUAAAAUUAGAUUUUAGGAAAAACUGCAGAAAAUUUAAACUCAUUAAAACAUAUCCAGUGCAAAGGCCAGUCUAGUCCACACAUUAUGGUACUGUAAUGUAAGCUAAUAUAAUUUAAAUAAGAAAACAUGCCUAUAUGACUCUGAGAAAGCUGAAUAUGUUUCAUGUUUUAAAGAUCUGACAUCUAAUAUGCAGAUUCUGCAAUAUCAGAAUUUUUCAAAUCUUCAUGAGAUGGCAAAAUAAUGGUAAGACUUUAUAAGUAGGCUUUUUUUUUAAAGGUAACUCACAUUAACAGUACUACAGUGGCCAAAAAAGACAAACUAUUAUAAUAGAAAUCAAUCUGAUUAAAAAAUUAAAUAUUCCAAUUAACACUGAAAAAGUGUUUGUAAUCAUUAUUUACAAUUCCUCAAUGAUACCAGUGUAUAACCUCACA